CCCCAGAUUUCACCAUCAAAGACCCUUUCUUUAUUGACCUGUUUUAAUGUUACAUAGUCAAUAAAGUAAGAAACUUUGAUUAUAAAAUCCCAGAUUUUCAUUAUUGAUUUCUCAGUUCACAUUUAGAUAUGGCAAAACUUAGAGUUACAAUCACCCGGGCAGGCUCAAGCAAGGUGGUGAAGAUGGGAGAUGAUGACAUUGUUGGCCAUGGAAGAAUGAAUUGAACAAAGAUUAUUACAUGACAAACCCUGGAGAAAUGUUGGUAACAAAAGGCGUAGAACUGACGGUGCCGAACAGAGAUCGAACGGCAUUAGAGGACAGGUAGCAGCUAAUUCUAUUGCUAGAUUCAAUUAGGUGUUUAUAUAUGCAAGUUUUGCUUUGGUUGAUGGAUUAUGGUGCUGUGAUAUGACUGUUUCUCGGAUCGUGCCGGGAAAAGACCUCCGAUUUAAAUUGAUGACCAAACAUGGAAUAGGACCGAAGAAUCUGCAAUCGGAUCGGAACCACUCGCAAUGGUAUUCCAGAUGGUUUGCAUAUAUCCUCUAUGCAAACUGCAGAUGAAUCUGGAGGUUUUCCCAAGAUACAUCAAACAAUGCCAACUGCCUUGCAAGGCAUGAUCUAUUUUCGAGCACUAUAGUUUUAGGCCCUUCAAUGGAGUCGGUCCGGUCCUGAUAUUGAGAGAGCCAUAAUUUCCCAGCCAGCGAGUAUGUAGCACCAAUGAGCAGCAUCCUGCAGGAAGCCACAUGUUGAUGAAGAACCUUUCACUGUUUCUACCUUGUUGAACUCACUUGGUUUGGGGAAAUACGCUGUUCAUUUUAUGGCCGAAGAUAAGUGGAUAUGCACUAAGGCAAGUGGGAGACAGGGACCUCAAAGAGCUCGGCAUUCCAAUGGGACCAAGGAAGAAACUUCUGCUUGCUCUUAGGCCCCAUUCAAGGAGGCAUCUUCCACGCAUCGUUAGACUUUAAUUUGCUGUAUUAACGGUGGAGUU